rnacentral:lncRNA from 1 species
CUAAUAAGCGCGCGAGCGCCGCUGUUUAAACUUCAGCGGUUACGGUGCGCUGACUGCGCUCAGCGUUCGGGAGAACGACGAUUACAUUGAAGCUAAAAAGAAGAAAGGUGGUUUAUCGCGUUGUCCAGGCCUGCGCAAUUCUCCGCCGGGAGAUUUUAUUGGACCUAACGUUAUAUGUAUAGGAAAAGAUGAAACAAAGUUUCGGUCAAAUCACCGUCAGACAGCCGUUAUAAACAUGAAUUCAAACCAAGAAGAACAAAGAGAGAAGCUGAUGGAGAUGUUACAAUUUUUUCUGUGAAUAACUGAGUAUUUGUUGUUUGAGAUGUUCAUCUAUCUCAGAGAGCACUUUUAAAGUUUUACCACCACCUUAUCAGAGUGCUGAAAAGUGGAAGUCAGAGGAAACAUGCCCAACUUGCUGCAAAACAAUAACACAAAAGGUACAUUAUUUCUUUUUCCUCACAGUACCAACUUUGGGGAAACUCAUAA